AUGAACGCUGGCGGCGUGCCUAAUCCAUGCAAGUCGAGCGAACAGACGAGGAGCUUGCUCCUCUGACGUUAGCGGCGGACGGGUGAGUAACACGUGGAUAACCUACCUAUAAGACUGGGAUAACUUCGGGAAACCGGAGCUAAUACCGGAUAAUAUAUUGAACCGCAUGGUUCAAUAGUGAAAGACGGUUUUGCUGUCACUUAUAGAUGGAUCCGCGCCGCAUUAGCUAGUUGGUAAGGUAACGGCUUACCAAGGCAACGAUGCGUAGCCGACCUGAGAGGGUGAUCGGCCACACUGGAACUGAGACACGGUCCAGACUCCUACGGGAGGCAGCAGUAGGGAAUCUUCCGCAAUGGGCGAAAGCCUGACGGAGCAACGCCGCGUGAGUGAUGAAGGUCUUCGGAUCGUAAAACUCUGUUAUUAGGGAAGAACAAAUGUGUAAGUAACUAUGCCCGUCUUGACGGUACCUAAUCAGAAAGCCACGGCUAACUACGUG
rnacentral:rRNA from 1 species